rnacentral:tRNA from 1 species
ACCCCUGUGAUGUAAUUGGAAAACAUCGCCGAUUUAGACUCGGUGUAUUGACUGCAGGUUCAAGUCCUGUCAGGGGUA